UGCGUGCGUGACUUGGGCCGAAGCCCGUGUACCCCUUCGCCCCUCACUUACCCCUUCGCCCCUUGGGCUAUAAAUAGACCUCCUCCACCUCCUUUCUAGGGUUAGCAAAGUGAUAGCUCAUUCUUAGGUGAGCUUUGUGAAGGAAAUAUGCCCUAGAGGCAAUAAUAAAGUUAUUAUUUAUUUCCUCAUAUCAUGAUAAAUGUUUAUUAUUCAUGCUAGAAUUGUAUUAUCCGGAAACAUGAUACAUGUGUGAAUACAUAGACAAAACUAUAGUCACUAGUAUGCCUCUACUUGACUAGCUCAUUAAUCAAAGAUGGUUAUGUUUCCUGACCAUAGACAUGUGUUGUCAUUUGAUUAGUGGGAUCACAUCAUUAGGAGAAUGAUGUGAUUGACAUGACCCAUUCUGUUAGCCUAGCACUUGAUCGUUUAGUAUACUGCUAUUGCUUUCUUCAUGACUUAUACAAAAUUCCUGCAACUAUGAGAUUGUGCAACUCCCGUUUACCGGAAGAACACUUUGUGUGCUACCAAACGUCACAACGUAACUGGGUGAUUAUAAAGGUGCUCUACAGGUGUUUCCGAAGGUACAUGUUGGGUUGGCAUAAUUCGAGAUUAGGAUUUGUCACUCCGAUUGUCGGAGAGGUAUCUCUGGGCCCUCUCGGUAAUACUCAUCACCUAAGCCUUGCAAGCAUGUGACUAAUGAGUUAGUUAUGAGAUGACGUAUUACGGAACGAGUAAAGAGACUUGCCGGUAACGAGAUUGAACUAGGUAUUGGAUACCGACGAUCGAAUCUCGGACAAGUAACAUACCGAUGACAAAGGGAACAACGUAUGUUGUUGUGCGGUUUGACCGAUAAAGAUCUUCGUAGAAUAUGUAGGAACCAAUAUGGGCAUCCAGGUCCCGCUAUUGGUUAUUGACCGGAGACGUGUUUCGGUCAUGUCUACAUUGUUCUCGAACCGUAGGGUCCGCACGCUUAAGGUUUCGAUGACAAUUAUAUUAUGAGUUUAUGUAUUUUGAUGUACCGAAGGUUGUUCGGAGUCCCGGAUAUGAUCACGGACAUGACGAGGAGUCUCGAAAUGGUCGAGACAUAAAGAUUGAUAUAUUGGACGGAUAUAUUUGGACACCGGAAAGGUUGCGGGAGAGUUUGGGAAUAUACCGGAGCUCCAGGAGGUUACCGGAACCCCCCGGUAAGUAUAUGGGACUUAUUGGGCCCUAGUGGAAGGGAGGGAGAAGGAGCAAGAGAGGGGGCGCCCCCCCAACCCAAUCCGAAUUGGGAGGGGGGCCGGCCCCCCCUUUCCUUCUCUCCUCCCCCCUCUUCCUUCCUUCUCCUACUCCGAAUAGGAAAGGGGGGGCCAAACCUACUUGGAGUAGGUUUGCCCCCCUAUGGCGCGCCUCCCCCUUGGGCCGGCCACCUCCUCCCUCCCUCCUUUAUAUACGGGGGUAGGGGGGCACCCUAGACACACAAGUUGAUCAUUGAUAUCGUUCCUUAGCCGUGUGCGGUGCCCCCCUCCACGAUAUUACACCUCGGUCAUAUUGUAGCGGUGCUUAGGCGAAGCCCUGCGACAGGAGAACAUCAAGAUCGUCACCAUGCCGUUGUGCUGACGGAACUCCCCCCGCGCCUCUGCUGGAUCGGAGAUCGGGGGUGCGUCAUCGAGCUGUACGCGUGUCAAGAACUCGGAGGUGCCGGAGUAACGGUGCUUGGAUCGGUUGGACCGGGAGGACGUACGACUACUUCCUCUACGUUGCGUCAACGCUUCCGCUUCGGUCUACGAGGGUACGUAGACAACACUCUCCCCUCUCGUUGCUAUACAUCACCAUGAUCUUGCGUGUGCGUAGGAAAUUUUUUGAAAUUACUACGUUCCCCAACAGUGGCAUCCGAGCCAGGUUUUAUGCGUUGAUGUUAUAUGCACGAGUAGAACACAAGUGAGUUGUGGACGAUAUAAGUCAUACUGCCUACCAGCAGGUCAUACUUUGGUUCAGCGGUAUUGUGAGAUGAAGCGGCCCGGACCGACAUUACGCGUACGCUUAUGCGAGACUGGUUUCACCGUUACGAGCACUCGUGCUUAAAGGUGGCUGGCGGGUGUCUGUCUCUCUCACUUUAGUUGAACCGAGUAUGGCUACGCCCGGUCCUUGUGAAAGUUAAAACGGAGUCUAUUUGACAAACUAUCGUUGUGGUUUUGAUGCGUAGGUAAGAACGGUUCUUGCUAAGCCCGUAGCAGCCACGUAAAAUUUGCAACAACAAAGUAGAGGACGUCUAACUUGUUUUUGUAGGGCAUGUUGUGAUGUGAUAUGGUCAAGACGUGAUGCUAUAUUUUAUUGUAUGAGAUGAUCAUGUUUUGUAACCGAAGUUAUCGGCAACUGGCUGGAGCCAUAUGGUUGUCGCUUUAUUGUAUGAAAUGCAAACGCCCUGUAAUUGCUUUACUUUAUCACUAAGCGGUAGCGAUAGUCGUAGAAGCAAUAGAUGGCGUAAACGACAACGAUGCUACGAUGGAGAUCAAGGUGUCACGCCGGUGACGAUGGUGGUCAUGACGGUGCUUCGAAGAUGGAGAUCACAAGCACAAGAUGAUGAUGGCCAUAUCAUAUCACUUAUAUUGAUUGCAUGUGAUGUUUAUCCUUUAUGCAUCUUAUCUUGCUUUGAUUGACGGUAGCAUUUUAAGAUGAUCUCUCACUAAAAUUAUCAAGAAGUGUUCUCCCUGAGUAUGCACCGUUGCCAAAGUUCGUCGUGCCGAGACACCACGUGAUGAUCGGGUGUGAUAAGCUCUACGUCCAUCUACAACGGGUGCAAGCCAGUUUUGCACACGCAGAAUACUCAGGUUAAACUUGACGAGCCUAGCAUAUGUAGAUAUGGCCUCGGAACAUGGAGACCGAAAGGUCGAGCGUGAAUCAUAUAGUAGAUAUGAUCAACAUAAUGAUGUUCACCAUUGAAAACUACUCCAUCUCACGUGAUGAUCGGUUAUGGUUUAGUUGAUUUGGAUCACGUGAUCACUUAGAUGACUAGAGAGAUGUCUGUCUAAGUGGGAGUUCUUAAGUAAUAUGAUUAAUUGAACUUAAAUUUAUCAUGAACUUAGUACCUGAUAGAAUCUUGCUUGUCUAUGUUUGUUUGUAGAUAGAUGGCUCGUGCUGUUGUUCCGUUGAAUUUUAAUGCGUUCCUUGAGAAAGCAAAGUUGAAAGAUGAUGGUAGCAAUUACACGGACUGGGUCCGUAACCUGAGGAUUACCCUCAUUGCUGCACAGAAGAGUUACGUCCUGGAAGCACCGCUGGGUGCCAGGCCUGCUGCUGAUGCAACUGACGACGUUAAGAACGUCUGGCAGAGCAAAGCUGAUGACUACUCUAUAGUUCAGUGUGCCAUGCUUUACGGUUUAGAACCGGGUCUUCAACGAUGUUUUGAACGUCAUGGAGCAUAUGAGAUGUUCCAGGAGUUGAAGUUAAUAUUUCAAGCAAAUGCCCGGAUUGAGAGAUAUGAAGUCUCCAAUAAGUUCUAUAGCUGCAAGAUGGAGGAGAAUAGUUCUGUUAGUGAACAUAUACUCAGAAUGUCCGGGUAUAACAAUCACUUGAUUCAACUGGGAGUUAAUCUUCCUGAUGAUAGUGUCAUUGACAGAAUUCUUCAAUCACUGCCACCAAGCUAUAAGAGCUUCGUGAUGAACUAUAAUAUGCAAGGGAUGAACAAGACUAUUCCCGAGCUCUUCGCAAUGCUGAAAGCCACGGAGGUAGAAAUCAAGAAGGAGCAUCAAGUGUUGAUGGUCAACAAGACCACUAGUUUCAAGAAGAAGGGCAAAGGGAAGAAGAAGGGGAACUUCAAAAAGAAUGGCAAGAAAGUUGCUGCUCAAGAGAAGAAACCCAAGUCUGGACCUAAGCCUGAAACUGAGUGCUUCUACUGCAAGCAGACUGGUCACUGGAAGCGGAAUUGCCCCAAGUAUUUGGCGGAUAAGAAGGAUGGCAAAGUGAACAAAGGUAUAUGUGAUAUACAUGUUAUUGAUGUGUACCUAACUAGAGCUCGUAGUAGCACCUGGGUAUUUGAUACUGGUUCUGUUGCUAAUAUUUGCAACUCGAAACAGGGACUACGGAAUAAGCGAGCACUGGCCAAGGACGAGGUGACGAUGCGCGUGGGAAACGGUUCCAAAGUCGAUGUGAUCGCGGUCGUUACGCUACCUCUACAUCUACCAUCGGGAUUAGUAUUAGACCUGAAUAAUUGUUAUUUGGUGCCUGCGUUGAGCAUGAACAUUAUAUCUGGAUCUUGUUUGAUGCGAGACGGUUAUUCAUUUAAAUCAGAGAAUAAUGGUUGUUCUAUUUAUAUGAAUAAUAUCUUUUAUAGUCAUGCACCCUUGAAGAGUGGUCUAUUUUUAUUGAAUCUCGAUAGUAGUGAUACACAUAUUCAUAAUGUUGAAGCCAAAAGAUGCAUAGUUGAUAAUGAUAGUGCAACUUAUUUGUGGCACUGCCGUUUAGGUCAUAUCGGUGUAAAACGCAAGAAGAAACUCCAUACUGAUGGACUUCUGGAAUCACUUGAUUAUGAAUCACUUGGUACUUGUGAACCGUGCCUCAUGGGCAAGAUGACCAAAACACCGUUCUCCGGAUCUAUGGAGAGAGCAACAGAUUUGUUGGAAAUCAUACAUACAGAUGUAUGUGGCCCGAUGAAUGUUGAGGCUCGUGGCGGAUAUCGUUAUUUUCUCACCUUCACAGAUGAUUUGAGCAGAUAUGGGUAUAUCUACUUAAUGAAACACAAGUCUGAAACAUUUGAAAAGUUCAAAGAAUUUCAGAGUGAAGUAGAAAAUCAUCGUAACAAGAAAAUAAAAUUUCUACGAUCUGAUCGUGGAGGAGAAUAUUUGAGUUACGAGUUUGGCUUACAUUUGAAACAAUGCGGAAUAGUUUCGCAACUCACGCCACCUGGAACACCACAACGAAAUGGUGUGUCCGAACGUCGUAUCGUACUUUACUUGAUAUGGUACGAUCUAUGAUGUCUCUUACCGAUUUACCGCUAUCAUUUUGGGGUUAUGCUUUAGAGACGGCCGCAUUCACGUUAAAUAGGGCACCAUCAAAAUCCGUUGAGACGACGCCUUAUGAACUGUGGUUUGGCAAGAAACCAAAGUUGUCGUUUCUUAAAUUUUGGGGCUGCGAUGCUUAUGUGAAGAAACUUCAACCAGAUAAGCUCGAACCCAAAUCGGAGAAAUGUGUCUUCAUAGGAUACCCAAAAGAGACUGUUGGGUACACCUUCUAUCACAGAUCCAAAGGCAAGACAUUCGUUGCUAAGAAUGGAUCCUUUCUAGAGAAGGAAUUUCUCUCGAAAGAAGUGAGUGGGAGGAAAGUAGAACUUGAUGAGAUAACUGUAUCUACUCCCUUGUUGGAAGGUAGUUCAUCACGAGAACCGGUUCCCGUGACAACUACACCAACUAGUGAGGAAGCUAAUGAUAUUGAUCAUGAAACUUCAGAUCAAGUUUCUGCUGAACCUCGUAGGUCUACCAGAAUAAGAUCCGCACCAGAGUGGUACGGCAAUCCUAUUCUGGAAGUCAUGUUACUUGACCAUGAUGAACCUAUGAACUAUGAGGAAGCGAUGAUGAGCCCAGAUUCCGCAAAAUGGCUAGAGGCCAUGGAAUCUGAGAUGGGAUCCAUGUAUGAAAACAAAGUAUGGACUUUGGUUGACUUGCCCAAUGAUCGGCAAGACAUUGAGAAUAAAUGGAUCUUUAAGAAGAAGACUGACGCUGAUGGUAAUGUUACUGUCUACAAAGCUCGACUUGUUGCGAAAGGUUUUCGACAAGUUCAAGGGGUUGACUACGAUGAGACUUUCUCACCCGUAGCGAUGCUUAAGUCUGUCCGAAUCAUGUUGGCUAUUGCUGCAUUUCAUGAUUAUGAAAUUUGGCAAAUGGAUGUCAAGACUGCAUUCUUGAAUGGAUUUCUAGAAGAAGAGUUGUAUAUGAUGCAGCCGGAAGGUUUUGUUGAUCCAAAAGGUGCUGACAAAGUAUGCAAGCUCCAGCGUUCCAUUUAUGGACUGGUGCAAGCAUCUCGGAGUUGGAAUAAACGCUUUGACAGUGUGAUCAAAGCAUAUGGUUUUAUACAGACUUUUGGAGAAGCCUGUAUUUACAAGAAAGUGAGUGGGAGCUCUGUAGCAUUUCUAGUUUUAUAUGUUGAUGACAUAUUGUUAAUUGGAAAUGAUAUAGAAUUUCUGGAUAGCAUAAAGGGAUACUUGAAUAAAAGUUUUUCAAUGAAAGACCUCGGUGAAGCUGCUUACAUAUUGGGCAUCAAGAUCUAUAGAGAUAGAUCAAGACGCUUAAUAGGACUUUCACAAAGCACAUACCUUGACAAGAUUUUGAAAAAGUUCAAAAUGGAUCAGGCUAAGAAAGGAUUCUUGCCUGUGCUACAAGGUGUGAAGUUGAGUCAAACUCAAUGCCCGACCACAGCAGAAGAUAGAGAGAAAAUGAAAAAUGUUCCCUAUGCUUCAGCCAUAGGCUCUAUCAUGUAUGCAAUGCUGUGUACCAGACCUGAUGUAUGCUUAGCAAUAAGCUUGACAGGAAGGUACCAAAGUAAUCCAGGAGUGGAUCACUGGACAGCGGUCAAGAACAUCCUGAAAUACCUGAAAAGGACUAAGGAUAUGUUUCUCGUAUAUGGAGGUGACAAAGAGCUAGUCGUAAAUGGUUACGUCGAUGCAAGCUUUGACACUGAUCCGGACGAUUCUAAAUCGCAAACCGGAUACGUGUUUAUAUUAAACGGUGGAGCUGUAAGUUGGUGCAGUUCUAAACAAAGCGUCGUGGCGGGAUCUACAUGUGAAGUGGAGUACAUAGCUGCUUCUGAAGCAGCAAAUGAAGGAGUCUGGAUGAAGGAGUUCAUUUCCGAUCUAGGUGUCAUACCUAGUGCAUCGGGACCAAUGAAGAUCUUCUGUGACAAUACUGGUGCAAUUGCUUUGGCAAAGGAAUCCAGAUUUCACAAGAGGACCAAGCACAUCAAGAGACGCUUCAAUUCCAUUCGGGACCAAGUCCAAGUGGGAGACAUAGAGAUUUGCAAGAUACAUACGGAUUUGAAUGUUGCAGACCCGUUGACUAAGCCUCUCUCACGAGCAAAACAUGAUCAGCACCAAGACUCCAUGGGUGUUAGAAUCAUUACAAUGUAAUCUAGAUUAUUGACUCUAGUGCAAGUGGGAGACUGAAGGAAAUAUGCCCUAGAGGCAAUAAUAAAGUUAUUAUUUAUUUCCUCAUAUCAUGAUAAAUGUUUAUUAUUCAUGCUAGAAUUGUAUUAUCCGGAAACAUGAUACAUGUGUGAAUACAUAGACAAAACUAUAGUCACUAGUAUGCCUCUACUUGACUAGCUCAUUAAUCAAAGAUGGUUAUGUUUCCUGACCAUAGACAUGUGUUGUCAUUUGAUUAGUGGGAUCACAUCAUUAGGAGAAUGAUGUGAUUGACAUGACCCAUUCUGUUAGCCUAGCACUUGAUCGUUUAGUAUACUGCUAUUGCUUUCUUCAUGACUUAUACAAAAUUCCUGCAACUAUGAGAUUGUGCAACUCCCGUUUACCGGAAGAACACUUUGUGUGCUACCAAACAUCACAACGUAACUGGGUGAUUAUAAAGGUGCUCUACAGGUGUUUCCGAAGGUACAUGUUGGGUUGGCAUAAUUCGAGAUUAGGAUUUGUCACUCCGAUUGUCGGAGAGGUAUCUCUGGGCCCUCUCGGUAAUACUCAUCACCUAAGCCUUGCAAGCAUGUGACUAAUGAGUUAGUUAUGAGAUGACGUAUUACGAAACGAGUAAAGAGACUUGCCGGUAACGAGAUUGAACUAGGUAUUGGAUACCGACGAUCGAAUCUCGGACAAGUAACAUACCGAUGACAAAGGGAACAACGUAUGUUGUUGUGCGGUUUGACCGAUAAAGAUCUUCAUAGAAUAUGUAGGAACCAAUAUGGGCAUCCAGGUCCCGCUAUUGGUUAUUGACCGGAGACGUGUUUCGGUCAUGUCUACAUUGUUCUCGAACCGUAGGGUCCGCACGCUUAAGGUUUCGAUGACAAUUAUAUUAUGAGUUUAUGUAUUUUGAUGUACCGAAGGUUGUUCGGAGUCCCGGAUAUGAUCACAGACAUGACGAGGAGUCUCGAAAUGGUCGAGACAUAAAGAUUGAUAUAUUGGACGGAUAUAUUUGGACACCGGAAAGGUUCCGGGAGAGUUUGGGAAUAUACCGGAGCUCCGGGAGGUUACCGGAACUCCCCGGUAAGUAUAUGGGCCUUAUUGGGCCCUAGUGGAAGGGAGGGAGAAGGAGCAAGGGAGGGGGCACGCCCCCCAAGCCCAAUCCGAAUUGGGAAGGGGGCCGGCCCCCCUUUCCUUCUCUCCUCCCCCCUCUUCCUUCCUUCUCCUACUCCGAAUAGGAAAGGGGGGGCCAAACCUACUUGGAGUAGGUUUGCCCCCCUAUGGCGCGCCUCCCCCUUGGGCCGGCCACCUCCUCCCUUCCUCCUUUAUAUACGGGGGUAGGGGGGCACCCUAGACACAUAAGUUGAUCAUUGAGAUCGUUCCUUAGCCGUGUGCGGUGCCCCCCUCCACGAUAUUACACCUCGGUCAUAUUGUAGCGGUGCUUAGGCGAAGCCCUGCGACAGGAGAACAUCAAGAUCGUCACCACGCCGUCGUGCUGACGGAACUCCCCCCCACGCCUCUGCUGGAUCAGAGAUCGGGGGUGCGUCAUCGAGCUGUACGCGUGUCAAGAACUCGGAGGUGCCGGAGUAACGGUGCUUGGAUCGGUUGGACCGGGAGGACGUACGACUACUUCCUCUACGUUGCAUCAACGCUUCCGCUUCGGUCUACGAGGGUACGUAGACAACACUCUCCCCUCUCGUUGCUAUACAUCACCAUGAUCUUGCGUGUGCGUAGGAUUUUUUUUUGAAAUUACUACGUUCCCCAACACUUUGCUCCUACCUAUCUCUACUCUUGAGAGAGAGAGAGAGACCACUACUCCAUUGGAGGCCAAGACCUCCAUCUAGGAGAAGAUCCCGCGGGAUAUCAUCAAGACCCCCUUGUGGGAAGAUCCAUUUAGGAUAUCAUCAAGACCACCUCUUGGAGAUGAACCUUACCUUGUAUCUUUCCCUUUGUUGUUCAUGUACCUUGUGAUCUUGUGUGUUUGAUUGUCUAGUGGAUGUGUGAUUUGGACUUGUUCUUGAGUGUUUCCCAUUGUGAUUUCUCCCCGUUCUUCCCCGUGUUCAUCGUGUUCUUCGAGGGAUCCCACUCCAAACGUGAAAGAUCGCCGCUAUAGGGUUCCACCCUACAUCAUAUGGUAUCAUGAGCCACGUUGAUCACGCUUUUGGAGUCCCUCCCACCGUUUUCUAGCCUUCUUUUGCUUGAUUUCGUCCUAAAUCCGAAAAUCCCCACCAAAAAUAGCCCCAAUUUUUUUUGUGAUUUGUUGGUUUGAUGAUGUUUUGUUGAUUUUGAUCUGUGGAUUUGCUUGGUUUCAAGUGGAUCUAGCAUUUCCCCAAGUUUCCACACCUUCCAUCCACGAAAUCUCGUCAAUUUUGACCCCAAAAUCCCCAAAUUCCGCCCAAAAAUUCGUCUCCACGAGCAAAUCCCGAGCAGUUUGACUUGCCCGGAUCAUCCGGACCUUCUCCCAGAUCAGCUGGACGCCCCCCCGGACGUCCGGAUAACCCACACACCCAGAAAACAGAACCGGCGCUGACGAACCUGGAUCAUCCGGAUUUCCUCCCGGAUCAUCCGGAUCUAGCCCGGAUCAUCCGGACCUCCUCCCGGAUGUCCGGUUAACCCUGAAACUGACACUGACAGAUUUUUGUUUUGGCCAUAACUAAUUCAUCCGGAGUCCGAUUUUGACGUUAUUUAGCUCGUUUUGAAGCUCUGGACAUCCCCCAUCCCACAAAAAUACCACCAACAUCAUUUGACUCCAUCAUAUUUUCUGAAAUUUGGCAAGUUUGCCUAGGCCUUCCACCAUACUAUCCGCAUAGCCACCACCGACUUCCGCAACCUAACCCAUUUUGUUCCCCAUUGCAUAUGUGGUUGUUUGAGUAGUGACUUGAGUCUCCUAAGGUGUUUCGGCUACUUAGGGACGGUUGCUUCUUCAUCAACCACCACCACCACCACUUCCACAUAACCUUCCCACCAUACACUUCCGACACCCAAACUUAACCCAAUUGUUGUUUGAGCUUGUUUGAGUUCAGGCUUGUGUCUCCUAAGGUGUUUCGGCUACUUAGGGACGACAAAUUCAACUCCGACUCGUGUAUAGCCCAUCAUUCCACUUCCGCAUUGCCUAGUGCAACACCACCACCGCUUUCCGCUACCACCAUUUGACAUUUGUCAUUUGAGAUUUUGAGUUUGCGGUUUUUCCGUUUCCUAAGGUGUUUCGGCUACUUAGGGACGAGUCUCCAUCAUCUUGGUAUCUACACCAAGAACACCGCCACUCAUCACCGCAAAGGACGGUAACCUCGACGACACCUUUGUAUAUUCACCUUGCAAUUGCAUUGUUAACCCCUAGCCCAUUUUGCGUCACUUACCUAUCGAGACUAGCCAUUUGAGUAUUCCCGGCAACGUUACUUGUGCACAUUAGUGAUCCACCAUUCCAUUGCAUACAUACCAUAUCAUAUUGGUAUCAUAUCAUACAUUGUGUCACAAUAUCGUUCCCGCAUAUACACAAUAGCUAUCUUGGUUUGUGCAUUGUGCAUAAGUGGCCAUUGAAAAAAAAAGCUUUUAAGCAAAAAGAGAGCAAAGAGCUCGUGAGCAAGUGCCAUAGCAUCAUACCCCAUUGCACAUAAGAGCCAUACCAAAAUCUACAACAUAUGAUAUCAUGAUUGAGAGAAACACCGGGAACCAUACAUACAUAGCAUACUUGGGAUAGAAGAAUAUCCAUUUUGCAUCUUAUAGGUUGUGCACAAGUGUCGUAUCCGCCUUUUGAGCAAUCGUGCUAGCGUCUCUCUUGAGUUGUGCAACACGAGCGUUUUCCGUGGAUUCCACAUUUUGUGCUCAUUCCUUGGUUGCAUAACCCCAUUUAUCUAUCCGUGUGUGUGUUUCCGUGUACCUUUCAUUGCUAUUGGUCUACUUGUUUCACUUGCGAAUUUGUGAAUCUCUUUCAACAUUAUUGACUCUUGCUAACAUUUUGCAUUAAAUUUUUGUGCCACUAUCCUCACCAAGCUCUACCAUAAGCUUUUACUUGAUAGGUGUGAGUGAACAAGUCCGGUACCAAUUCCACUAUUCUUUCAUCUCACAUUGAGUGACAUGAGAUACAUCCUCAACUUUGGGAAAAGGUAACUUGGUAUUGUUUAUCUCAUUUCCUACUCACCUCUACUCGAGUCUUGUGAUGGAUAGGCAAGGCAUUUCACUUUCGGUCUACAACAACAACGACGAGUUCGAUGCCAUGAACAACAACUACUACGCCAAGAUGGACAAGCGCAUGGAGGAGAUAAAGGCCCUCAUCAAGUCCUACAAGCGAUCUUCCUCAUCUUCGAGAAGACGCUCAAGAGCACAUCCUUCCGAGCUACCACCUCCGGCAAGAUCACAUCGGCAUCGACACCAUCACCAACAAGAACGUGAAGGUCAAGAGCUCAACACCAACAACCGCUCAACGACUUCACCAUCUCCCUUGGCAUCUUCGCCAAGCGACUUCAAGGCAUCUUCGCCUACGGACAUAUGGCAUCUUCGCCAACAAGAACCUCAAGACUACACUCAAGAGAAGCUACCCAAGCUCAAGUCCGCGACUUCCACGAGCUACUACGACCUCGACACCGACCACAAGAUUCCUUUCUAUGGGACUCAAGAACCUGAGGAGUACCUCGAGUGGGAGCGUUUGAUGGACGACUACCUCAAGCUACAUCAAGUUCGUCCCGAAGAUCAAGUGAAGUGCGCCACAAGAAACUUCCACGACUACGCCUCGACAUGGUGGCUUCACACACCUUCGAAGUACUACGACAUGAGUUGGCCCAAGACAAAGAGAGCUUUACGGCGAGAGUUUGUGCCUCCAACCUACACGGAACAACUUCGACGCCAAUUGGAGAACACCACCCAAGGAUCCAAGUCCAUCGACAAGUACUUCAAGGAGAUCAUGAUUGCCUUGCGACGAGCCGGCGUGGACGACCCCAUGUCAAUGAAGUUCCACUUCAUGAUGGGAUUGCACAACGACAUCUCCAAGACCAUCUUCAUCGAGAACUACAAGUCCAUCGACGACUACUACAUUGGUGCUCUCAAGGCGGAACAAGAACUCAUGAAGGCCAAGGCUUCUACACCCCAAGCACACUUCGCGGCGACCAAGCUCUACGACAAGCAUGAGGCUAGUACCACCACGAUGUCCAAGGCCGACAAGCUCCAAGACAAUGCUCCCAAGUGCGACUUCACCGCCAUCCCUCUUUGUGAUAUUGAUGAUGCCGAGUCUACUUCGACUCUUUUUCAAGACGGUGCGGCGAUGAGUUCGACUACGGAGACCUUCAAGGACCAAGCUUUGGAGGCGAGUGACAAGGUGGCGAGCAAGGAUGAUGCUUCCAUCUUAGGAGGCGAGAGUGAUGAUGUGCCAUCUUCGGCCUUCAUCCACGGCGACCACGACGAGAUGGUUGAGCAUGGGACAUUCCCUUCGACCACGGCGACGUAUGAUGACUUGAGUGACUUUUGCCACCAUAUUGAGAGUGAGAGUGACUUCACCACUAGCCCCAUAUAUAAUGAGUUGCCCCACCUUCCAUGUGAGGAGAGCCACAACCACCACCACUUGAGUGAGAUGAGUGACUCCACCAUAUGUGACUUUGAGUGCACCUACUUUGAGGGAGUGAGUGAACCACCACAUAGAGAGAGUGAGAUAGUUGAUAGGUCUCGUGAGGCCAUUUGCAUUUCUAACAACUUGAUCUCUACCUCUAUUGUGUCUUCUCAUUUGGUGCUAGGCCCCAUUUAUGAUGACGCGCCGAUCCUCGAUGACUUCAUCCUCCCUUUGAACAAGAGGAUGGCCAUGGUGGAUUAUGAUGCACCGCCCACAUGCUUCCAUCAAGAUGAUGAUGAUGACCAUCAUUUGGUCUUUCCCACCUCACCUAAACCAGUUGAGUGGAAUGACAAAGGUAACAUAGGUGAAGGUGAUGCUCUAGUACCACUAGUGGACAUUCUUGACAUUGAUUGCUUGCAUGAUGUUGAUCCACCUAUUGCCAUGCUUCAUGCUAGUAUGAGUUCCCCAUGCGAUGAUUUGCCCAUUUAUGAUGAGUAUGAUGAUUCUAUUGUGGAGUCUAUUAGUUGUGAUGCCAUGUUACAUAGGAUUUCUUGUGACAAUUCUUUAGGUCACAUCAUGUUUGAUAAUCCGCUUGACUUGUCAUAUGCUAUGCAUGAGAUCAACCAUAUGUCUUAUUUGCAAUCUCUUCAUAGUGACUAUGCAUAUGCCAUUAAAAUAAACCCAAUUUGCACAUAUGGCAUAGAUGACAAGCCCAUGGUUAUUGGCAUUUGUUUCUCUUGUGAUGAUAUUGAUAUGCUCCCUUUGCAUCAUUUAUCUCAUAUGCCAUGCCAUGACCACCUAGCUUCGGAUAUGCAUUGUUUUGGAUGUUGUCCAUUUUCUCCAUAUGAUGUUUCCGAUAUUGCUCAUGAGGAGACCCCCAUAGUUUCCUCAUACAUUUUAGGAGAUUUUGACCCAUCCCAUCCAUUGCAUGAUCCCAAUACUUGUGUGCACCAUAUGCUCCCCAUGAAUAAACAUGCUUUUGAUGCGCCAUAUACUUGUUUGCUCAAUUUGUGUCCCCAUCGUGUCAUACAUAACAACUAUUCUUUCAUGAUGGAUGACAUGUUCAUAUACCAUGCCUCAAAUUUCUUUGAGCAUUGCUUAUCUUGUGCUAACUCACACGUGCACAUAUACAUCAUGAUGGAUGAUGUGUACAUUUACCACACACACAAUUUCUUUCGUUUGUGUCUCUUUUGUGUAGGUACCCAUGAAUACUUGUCAACCUCGCAAUCCCACGAGUUGACAAAACGAGCUCUUGAGAGCAAUGACGAUUUGGGAUCCCGUGGACUAUCCUUACAACCGUUCCCUUCACGCAAGGACUACGCGCAACUCCUCUACUUGGCUCUCACACGGCUAUGGGCCAUUUACCACUUGUCACCUUAUGCUCAUUUUACCGUGUUCACUUUGCAUGCUAUGCUUGCUUCUAUGCCUUUGCCAUGCAAUUGUGACCCUUGCUUGCAUCUACCCAUGUUUCAUCAUUAUGCUACUUCUAUGUGUAUUUGCAUGCUUGGUAGAGAUCCUUGUUGCUAUUGCCAUGUUUAUCAUGUGCCCCAUGCUAUUGUCCUCAUAUCUUGCUUUCAUGAUUGUGCUAUGACAUGUGAAUUAUUCAUGCCCACUAUUUGCACCAAGGACAUGUUUGCCAUGAUUCCUUCUAGUAUGUCGCAUCUUCGCACUACUAUCAUACUUGACUUGAUUGCUAUGAUUGCUUUCUAUGUUGCAUCACCCAUGUUCCACUACUUGCUUUCUUGGGUUGAUGACAUAUAUGCUCAUGCCUCUCACAUGCGUUGUCUCUUGUGUCAUACUUGCUCAUCUCAUGCGGUUGAUGACAACCAUCUAUAUGCUUUGCAUAUGAUUCAUAUUGCUUCGUGUCAUAUAUCUCCAUGUGUUGCAUCUCUCAUGCUAGAUGAUUUGCCAUGUAUUGAGUGCAACAAUGCUUAUAGUCUUGCUCAUGAGAUUGCCCCCAUAGCAUUCUCACACAUGUUUGGAGAUUUUGACAUAUUCCUUGUGAAGCAUGCUUGUCUUACCUCUUUGCACCAUAUACCUAGUGCCUUGAAUAUCACCAUUGUUGCAUCAUAUUAUUCAUGCACUUGUGCUUCUAAUGGUUAUGUGCAAGAGAAGAGAACCAUCAUGAUGGAUGAUGUGUUUAUCUACCAUGCGCAUACGCUCUUUGUUUUGUUUUGUGCAUGUGUAGGAUACUUGGACUUUGUGUCGACUUCCACUUCACGUGAGUUGACCAUUCGAGCUCUUGAGAGCGAGCCUCAUACAUUCUACCACGACUCGUUUCUACACCGUAUUUGCUUCCACUUCGGCAUUGUGAAGAAUGCACAAGGGCACACUUUCAAGGUGACAUCCUUCUUGAGAUUGGAUAUUGUGGAUCAUACUUCAUGUGUUGCUUGCACCAUUUGCACACAUGUUCGAGAUAUUGCUUUCUACCAUGAUUGCCACAUUUCCAUGCUUCAUGACAUAUAUACCUUGUGUGUUGCAUCCAAUUCUUGGACUACUUGCUACUAUCAUAUGGUUGGUUGCACCAAUAUCAUUUCUUCACAUAUGCCAUGUCCCUUUGCUUGUCACAUGCUUGACUUGAUUGCCUCACACAUGUUGAACAAUUGCUCUUUUUAUUGUGUUGAGUGCCACACUAUAUUCACUACACCCUAUGCACGUUAUGCUUGGAUUGUCUUGCACUUGCCCCAUGUGUUUAGACAUUUCACUAUAUUUGGUGUCGUGAAUGACUCUUAUGCCUACCAUAGACCGUUCAUUGAGCUCCUUAUGCAUGCUUGCUAUGACCUUGAGGUAGAUGCUUGUUCACUUAUCACAUAUAUUUGCAUCUUGACCUCCCAUUUGCAUGCUUGUUCCCAUGAUAUACUUGAUUGUGCUCAAUUUAUAUGCUCAAAUGCCAUGCCACACUUCUUUGUCAAACCAUAUGCUAUGCUUGAUGACAACAUUUGUUGGGUGAAUCACCUCUUGAAUGCUUGGUUUUGCUCUUACGACAACCACAUUUGUUUUUCCAAGUGCUUGUUAUCUUUGCUACUUUUGAAGGAAUUACAAGACGGUGCGACAUUGGAGAGUGCCCAUUUGGAACUACAAGAUGACGAAUGCUUGGUGAUCGUCCACUUCAACACGACGACAUCAUCUCUUUCCCAUGGUGAUUUGGAUUUCGAUCCGAGGUCGGAUCUUUCCCAAGGGGGAGGGGAUGAUGCGGAGCAUCCUACGGACAUCACCACGUCAAGAGCCCAUUUGGCAAGUGACACGUGCGACAUCUACUUCACAUACACAAAGGUGAAUCAUCUCCUUUACACGUGCUCACUUGACACUCUCGAGGAUGGUAUACUACUUGGCACUCCUUACGUGUGCAUGCAUAGGUAUUGUCAGAGCUUCACGGAUGUCAAGGAGGAGUGCAAGAGCCAAGGAACGACUACACCAUCCGCGAGGGAAGUGUGGAAGAGAAGACGGAAGAAAGGAAGAAGAAGAAUGGAGCAGGACUGGAGUUGCCCGGACCAUCCGGACCCCCAGCAGGACGAUCCGGACCGAGCCCGGAUGAUCCGGACGACCUCCCGGACGAUCCGGCUACCGUGCCCGAAGACAACAGAACCUGCUCGACGAAGCCGGAUCAUCCGGACGGUCGCCCGGAUCAUCCGGACCCCCGACACCCGGAUCAUCCGGGCCACCAUCCGGAUCAUCCGGACCCCGCCUGCGUGCGUGACUUGGGCCGAAGCCCGUGUACCCCUUCGCCCCUCACUUACCCCUUCGCCCCUUGGGCUAUAAAUAGACCUCCUCCACCUCCUUUCUAGGGUUAGCAAAGUGAUAGCUCAUUCUUAGGUGAGCUUUGCUCCUACCUAUCUCUACUCUUGAGAGAGAGAGACCACUACUCCAUUGGAGGCCAAGACCUCCAUCUAGGAGAAGAUCCCGCGUGAUAUCAUCAAGACCCCCUUGUGGGAAGAUCCAUCUAGGAUAUCAUCAAGACCUUCUCUUGGAGAUGAACCUUAC
rnacentral:lncRNA from 1 species